UACAGAGGUCCCAAGCGUUGUUCGGAUUCACUGGGCGUAAAGGGUGCGUAGGCGGUCGGGUAAGUCUGAUGUGAAAUCUCACAGCUUAACUGUGAAACUGCAUUGGAUACUAUCCGGCUCGAGGAAUGGAGGGGAGACUGGAAUACUUGGUGUAGCAGUGAAAUGCGUAGAUACCAGGAGGAACACCGGUGGCGAAGGCGGUUUCCUGGCCGAGUACUGACGCUGAGGCACGAAAGCGUGGGGAUCAAACAGG
rnacentral:rRNA from 1 species